GGUCCCACCUGACCCCAUGCCGAACUCAGAAGUGAAACGCCGUAGCGCCGAUGGUAGUGUGGGGUCUCCCCAUGUGAGAGUAGGGAACUGCCAGAC
rnacentral:rRNA from 1 species